rnacentral:rRNA from 1 species
CCUACGGGUGGCAGCAGUGAGGAAUAUUGGUCAAUGGCCGGAAGGCUGAACCAGCCAAGCCGCGUGAAGGACGAAGGUGCCAAGCAUUGUAAACUUCUUUUGUCAAGGGACAAAAUCAGGCUCGAGAGCCUGACCGAGGGUACUUGAAGAAAAAGCAUCGGCUAACUCCGUGCCAGCAGCCGCGGUAAUACGGAGGAUGCGAGCGUUAUCCGGAUUUAUUGGGUUUAAAGGGUGCGUAGGGGGACUGUUAAGUCAGCGGGAAAAGCCCGGGGCUCAACCCCGGCCUGCCGUCGGAACUGGGUGCCGUGAGUAGGCGAGAGGUAUGCGGAAUGCGUGGUGUAGCGGUGAAAUGCAUAGAUAUCACGCAGAACCCCGAUUGCGAAGGCAGCAUACCGGCGCCCUACUGACGCUGAGGCACGAAAGUGCGGGUAUCGAACAGGAUUAGAUACCCUAGUAGUC